rnacentral:lncRNA from 1 species
UGCACCUGAUUCCAUCUCUUCUUGCCUCCUUAGUAUUACAUAUAUCAUUUCCCGGUCAUUACAUCAAAUAUAACUCCUGUUCUCCAUCCAUGGCUCUUCCGUGUACUAAGCNAAGGGAUGUCAGGAAUCAAUCAUGUAUAAUUGAUAGAGAAGGGCUUCAGCCAUAUUUGAGAAGAGACAACACUAAUUCAAGACUCGUCAUUAGAAUACCUGUGUGCAAAGACCCCCUUAGAGUAUAACAGCUGAGAAAACCUGGAUACAUAAUUUGCCUUUCUAAUUUCAGUUUCCUCACCUGCAAAAGGAAGGUACUACUUAGUAACACCCUCAGAGUUUUGUCUUGAAUAUUAGAAUUCAAUGACUUCUGCCUGGCACAUUGGGGGUGAUUCUAUUACUGUUACAAUACUGUUAGCACUGUGAAUUCUUAUUCUUAGCUCUGUCACUUACCACUUACAUGUCUCAGCUCAUUUCAGCUUCCUCAUCUGUAAAUGGGGAAAAUGGCACUUACCUUAUUCAGGGGUUAGGGGGACCUAGUGGGGUAGAGCAGCUAUGUAACAGACAAGUGGAAGAUACUCUAUCAAUUCCUGAGCAGUUCAGGGCUCACAUUUUUCUUGUCUCAUAUUUAACUCCAAUGCUCGAGUAGACAAAAGGAUUUCUACACUGCAUCUUAAUCUUGGAUAUGCCAUUACUAGGGUCUUCAUUAAGAGGCAUUUUCUUUAAAAAGAGGCUGUAAUGUUUUUGUGAGGCUGAGAAUUUGCUCUAUAGGCAGUUAACCAAAAGGAGUGUCCGUCAUGUUUUGACAAAUGUAAACAUCAUUGGAAGAAGCAUGCGAUUUUUAAAAUAAUUCAACUGUAUGACCCACAUGCUAGCUCUGUUCUCAUUCUUCUGGUCCCUUUCCAAAUAUAGCCACCCAAGGACAAUUACCACUGAACAAUGCAGUACACUGAAGGCUUUUGUAGGCACAGUGGAUUAGAGGCUUUUAUAAUACUAUCCAGCACAAACUCCUUCAAGUGGUCCUUUGCUAUUUCCUUUCCUCCUACCCUCUCUCUAUUCUGUCUUUUCUAUGCAUUCCCUCUUAGUUUCUGGGUAGAAAAUGUUCCUUUUCUCUUGUUCUGGAGCUCAUGGCUAGAGUGAAUUUCCCAGGGUCCUUAGCAGUUAGGUUCAUCCAUGAGACCAAGUUGACUCAAUGGAAUGUGAUGGACAGGUGGAUAACACUUCCUGAUGGUCUGGCCCAUGAAUCCUUUCUUCUUCCCCUGCUGGCUCGAUGUGAAGUCGAGGAAAUGUGGGUGGAGUUGAAGCCUCCAUUAACCUGGAUCCCAAGUAUGUCUGUGUACAAUAGCACUAACCCUAACUUUAAAUUACAACCUUUAUCCUCCAUCAUUUGAAUCAUCCUUUGGGGGCUUACAUGGGUAACUUUUUAUACAUGAUCAUAACUUCAUGUGAGUGAGAAAUCAAUUUCCAUUGUAUUAAGUCAAGGGUAUUUCCAACUGUAUCUGUCACAGCAUAUAAUCUUACAUAAAUUAAUAUAGCUAUGCCUCUGAGGACUCUUCUACCCCACUUCUGAUCUUGAGCCCCUCAAAACUUCUCUCCUCUUAAUUAUGAUGAACAGCACAGCUUGUGGAGGGUGAUUCUAUACUUGCUCACUUAUAACGAAUACAAUGCUCAGCAAUGAACCCUUCAAGGAUGAAGAACUGCUCUUUUAAGAAGAGUUAGAUAAAAUAAUAUUUAUUUCCCAUGACAUAGAUUUUUCUUUCAUCCAACAAAUUAUCAUAAAUCACUCAAUACAGGCUCUGCCAUUCUGUAGGCACCAGAGAUAGAACAAUGAAAGUCAAAUGGUGCCUUCAGUAGUUUUUGGUGUAGUGUUAAAAUAGACAACAAAAAUAUGGUUUGGAAGUUGUAGGAAUUUAUGGAAGCCAAAUGAGGGAGUGGUCCCUCAUUCCUAAGGUCCUCACUUAUACAGUCCUUUACUAUUCAUUAAGGUCAAAUGAGCAAUUUCUCAUUCAACUUGGGUAUGAGGGAAACCUUCCCAAGAAGGACCUGUCUUAAUUAUUAUAGAAUGAGUAGGAACUAAGCAAGGGACAGAGAAAGGUGUCCCAGCAUCAUGAGAAUCAUGAACAAGAAGGCAAUGAGUGAGAAAUCAAAGACAAGCCUCCCCUGCACACUGCAUUUGGGUCAGACCUGAGAUGCAGAGGACAUGGGUAUGACAGAGGAUAGCAUUGCAGUUGAGACCAGAUCCUGCAGGCAUCAUGUGGAAGGGUGGAUUAGUCAGCUUUUCACCACUGUGACAAAUACCUGGGAAAAACAACCCAAAGGAUGAAAGGUUUAUAUUGGCUCAAGAUUUCAAAGUCUGUGUUUGGCUGGCUCCAUUGCUCUGGGUCUGCAUUGAGACAAAAGCGUCAGGAUGAAAGGGCAUAGUGGAGGAAAGCUGCAGAUAAUGGCAGGUGGGAUGGAGAGAAGGAGAAGGAGAAGGAGAAGGAGGAGGAGAAGGAGAAGAAGGAGGAGGAGAAGGAGGAGCAGGAAGAAGAAAUGGUCUGAGGUGUACAGAGGAGAGAUAAUUUGCCUCUCCUCAUUUGAAAGUGGUUGAGCAAGGACCAGAAGAAGGAAAGGAAAGAGGGAAGGGCCAGGGAUAAGAUAUAGUCCCAGGGCGGCCACCCAGGUGACCUGCUUCCUCCAGCUAUGCCCUCGCUGCCUUGUUUACACCUCCCCAUUCAGCUAGUCCAUUCAGCUAUCAAUGGAUUAAUCCACUGAUGAGGUCACAGCCUUUGUGAUCCAAUCACUUCCCCAAAGCUCCACUUCUGAACACUGCUGCACUGGGGAUCAAGCCUUCAGCACAUGAAACUCUGUGGGACAUUCACAUCCAUAACAAGGUUAAUGUGCACCUGAUUCCAUCUCUUCUUGCCUCCUUAGUAUUACAUAUAUCAUUUCCCGGUCAUUACAUCAAAUAUAACUCCUGUUCUCCAUCCAUGGCUCUUCCGUGUACUAAGCUUAGUCCCUGGGGUGGAAAAGACUUCCAUCUUGCCACCACAGUACUUCACACAAUCUCUGUGCAAUGUCCCUGGGUGUCCCUAGGGUCAGUCUCUCUACAGGUGAGUUUGUUGAGGAGCCCUCCUAAAGGGAAGACCUAGGAGAGUUGCAUAGAGUGCACUGACAAUUCCCUUCUUUCUGUGCAGCAGAAGAACCUUUGAUCUUCAAGCACAUUAUCAUGUUGUUGUAUUUUGUCCUUUUUACUUAGAUAGCCCUUUACUGUUCAUGAUGGCUUUUACUUAAAUGACUUCAUUUGAUCGUCUCUACUGUCCUCUGGGAUUUGCAGAAUGGAUCCUAGGAUCUCAUCAUAAAGGAAAACGGCCUGAGGUCUACAGAGGAGAGAUAAUUUGCUUCUCCUCAUUUGAAAGUGAUUGAGAAAGGACCAGAAUUACAAUUUAAUCCUCAUGUUCUAAGCCUCAGUAUCCUUGAGGCCAAGCAUCACAUCUAAAUAUUGUCACCUUCCCAGUGCUUUACAGAGGCACUUAAUGUAUGUUUGCUGACUUCACUUGAGAUAGAGUUUAAGACCAUAGACUUUGAAGUCAAAGGAAUCCUGGAGUCAGCACUUGGUUCGUGGAAUAGUUGGGGCCUAUUGAGGCAGUGGGUUGCUCGUUAAUAAGUGAACUGCUAACAUUUCCCCAUUAUGAGAAACAAAGAGAAUGAGGUGCUGAGCACAGUUCCCAGCACAGGGAAUUAAUGAAAUAUGCUAAGGAUUAUUAUUAACUUGACCCCUCUUUUCAGUUAUUAUUAUUUUUAUUUUGCAAAAAUUUAAAUGUAUUCAGAAAUAGACAGAAUAUCAUAGUGAACCACGACUCGCCAAACUGACAGCUUCAGAAAUUAUCAGCUCCUGCCAAUUUUAUUUCAUAUCUGUGCUCAUCUUCUUUCCAUCCUUAUAUCACUUUGAAGGAAAUUUCAAGCAUCAUAUCCUUUACCUGUAAAUUAUGCAGUAUGUACCUCUAAGACACAGAUGAAAAAAAUGAUAAAUACAGUACAACUAUCACCCCUUGCCACAAAAAUGAACAGUUGUAGCAAAUACACAGAAUAAUAUCUCCUCAAAGAUGGCCAUGUUUAUUACUAUCUUAAUUAUGUUUUUGACCUAACAAAGAAGAAUGAAAACGGCAGAUGUAAGCAAUUCAUUGAUCAGUUGGCCUUAGAUCAAGGCAAUGAUCCUGUAUUACUCGGGUGGACCCAGGAUAAUCACAAGGGUCCCUGCGGGGAAGAGGGAAACAGGGAACCAGAACCAUGCAGAUGGCAGGCUUGUGGGCUUUAAAGAUAAAACAGAAUAAAAUCAUGGCAUUUUCAGGUAAAUGAAUGGAGUUAGAGAAGAUAAUGCUAAGUGAAGUUAGCCAAUCCCAAAAAACAAAAUGCCAAAUGUUUUCUUUGAUAUGAGGAGGCUAAUUCAUAGUGGGAUAGGGAGGGGGAACAUGGGAGGAAUAGAUGAACUCUAGAUACGGCAGAG